GUGGGUCAGAAGGAAAGAAGCGAGACUGUGUUGUAAGACCGUAUUGAUUUGACAGGUGAACGAGGGGCAGCUGCAAGUAAUAAGGCAGCUGCAACCGUUUACCUAGAUAUCAUGCGGGAUUACAUAUAGGUGCCAGGACAGUUAGAGCACAUCUCCGGAGCUGUCGCCGAGGGUCAGCACAAUCCGGAGCACCACUGCACUACCGUCACAAAAAAAACUUGUGUUUGCACUAAGCACCAGCACGACUGCACUCACCCAGGACUGGUGACCGUGUGUUCAUUUUUGUUCGGGACUGUGCCCUGUUUCGUUAUCCCCGUGCUUUACACAUUGGUGUGCAUAGCCGGGGGUUUAUUAUUUGACGGUCACCAGACCUGGAUUAUAAAUAAAGCACCUUUUCCACUGUA